UACAGGGGGUGCAAACGUUGCUCGGAAUUAUUGGGCGUAAAGCGCACGUAGGCGGUUUGUUAUGUCGGAUGUGAAAGCCCUUGGCUCAACUGAGGAAGUGCAUCCGAAACUGGCAGGCUAGAGUACGUAAGAGGGUCGCGGAAUUCCCGGUGUAGAGGUGAAAUUCGUAGAUAUCGGGAGGAACACCGGUGGCGAAGGCGGCGACCUGGGACGAUACUGACGCUGAGGUGCGAAAGCGUGGGGAGCAAACAGG
rnacentral:rRNA from 1 species